GACGAACGCUGGCGGCGUGCUUAACACAUGCAAGUCGAGCGGUAAGGCCCUUUCGGGGGUACGACGAGCGGCGAACGGGUGAGUAACACGUGGGUGACCUGCCCUCAGCUCUGGGAUAAGCCUGGGAAACCGGGUCUAAUACUGGAUAUGACUCCAUGACGCAUGUUGUGGGGUGGAAAGCCUUGUGCGGCUGAGGAUGGGCCG
rnacentral:rRNA from 1 species